rnacentral:rRNA from 1 species
AACGAACGCUGGCGGCAGGCCUAACACAUGCAAGUCGAGCGAAGCCUUCGGGCUUAGCGGCGGACGGGUGAGUAACGCGUGGGAACGUGCCCUUUGGUACGGAAUAGCCCCGGGAAACUGAGAGUAAUACCGUAUGUGGUCGAGAGACGAAAGAUUUAUCGCCAAAGGAUCGGCCCGCGUUGAAUUAGGUAGUUGGUGGGGUAAUGGCCUACCAAGCCGACGAUCCAUAGCUGGUUUGAGAGGAUGAUCAGCCACACUGGGACUGAGACACGGCCCAGACUCCUACGGGUGGCAGCAGUGGGGAAUCUUAGACAAUGGGGGAAACCCUGAUCUAGCCAUGCCGCGUGAUCGAUGAAGGCCUUAGGGUUGUAAAGAUCUUUCAGUGGGGAAGAUAAUGACUGUACCCACAGAAGAAGCCCCGGCUAACUCCGUGCCAGCCGCCGCCGUAAAAC